rnacentral:rRNA from 1 species
UACGUAGGGGGCAAGCGUUGUCCGGAUUCAUUGGGCGUAAAGAGCGUGUAGGCGGCCAGGUAGGUCGGUUGUGAAAACUGGAGGCUCAACCUUCAGAGGUCGACCGAAACCAUCUGGCUAGAGUCCGGGAGAGGAGAGUGGAAUUCCUGGUGUAGCAGUGAAAUGCAUAGAUAUGACCCGGAACACCGAUUGCGAAGGCAGCCCGCUACGCAACCAUUGACGCUGAGGCACGAAAGCGUGGGGAUCAAACAGG